rnacentral:rRNA from 1 species
GGUCAAGUUAUUAAGGGUGCAGGGCGGAUGCCUUGGCACUAGGAGCCGAUGAAGGACGUGAUAAGCUGCGAUAAGCUUCGGGGAGUUGCACGUAAACUUUGAUCCGAAGAUUUCCGAAUGAGGAAACUCACUUAGAGUAAUGUCUAAGUAUCAUUAAGUGAAUACAUAGCUUAAUGAGGGGAACUCAGGGAACUGAAACAUCUAAGUACCUGAAGGAAGAGAAAGAAAUUCGAUUCCGUAAGUAGCGGCGAGCGAACGCGGAUUAGCCCAAACCAAUAAAGUUUUCUUUAUUGGGGUUGCGGACAUAUCAUAACGAAGAGGUAUCGUAAUUGAAGAGGUUUGGAAAGACCCACCACAGAAGGUAAUAGUCCUGUAUGUUAAACGAGAAGACUUUAGAUAUGAUCCAGAGUACCACGGGACACGUGAAACCCUGUGGGAAGCAGGAGGGACCACCCUCCAAGGCUAAAUACUACCUAGUGACCGAUAGCGUAUAGUACCGUGAGGGAAAGGUGAAAAGAACCCCGGGAGGGGAGUGAAAUAGAACCUGAAACCCUGCACUUACAAGCUGUGGAAGCACAUUUCUUGUGUGACCGCGUACUUUUUGUAGAACGGGCCAACGAGUUACGUUAAGUAGCAAGGUUAAGCACUUAAGGUGUGGAGCCGUAGCGAAAGCGAGUUUUAACUGAGCGUUCAGUUACUUGACGUAGACCCGAAACCGGGCGACCUACCCAUGAGCAGGAUGAAGCGAAAGUAAAAUUUCGUGGAGGUCCGAACCCACGAGCGUUGAAAAGCUCGGGGAUGACUUGUGGGUAGCGGUGAAAUUCCAAUCGAGCCCGGAGAUAGCUGGUUCUCCCCGAAAUAGCUUUAGGGCUAGCCUCAAGGUGAGAGAUACGGAGGUAGAGCACUGAAUGUCCUAGGGGGUAUUGCACCUACCGAAGACUAUCAAACUCCGAAUGCCGUCAUCUUAUACUUGGGAGUCAGACUGUGGGUGAUAAGAUUCAUAGUCGAAAGGGCAACAGCCCAGAUCGUCAGCUAAGGUCCCUAAAUGUAAGUUAAGUGGUAAAGGAUGUGGGAUUGCACAGACAACCAGGAUGUUGGCUUAGAAGCAGCCACUCAUUCAAAGAGUGCGUAAUAGCUCACUGGUCGAGUGAUCCUGCGCCGAAGAUUUCCGGGGCUAAAACUUACUACCGAAGCUACGGCAUCAGUAAUGAUGGGUAGGGGAGCUUCCCAUACGGGUUGAAGCAUGACCGUAAGGACAUGUGGACAGUAUGGGAGUGAGAAUGUUGGCAUGAGUAGCGAGAUGUGGGUGAGAAUCCCACAGGCCGUAAACCCAAGGUUUCCAGGGGAAGGUUCGUCCGCCCUGGGUUAGUCGGGACCUAAGCUGAGGCCGAAAGGCGUAGGUGAUGGACAACAGGUUGAUAUUCCUGUACUACCGAUAACCGUUUGAGAGAAGGGAUGACACAGUAGGAUAAGCUAAGCACACUGUUGGUUAUGUGUGCCCAAGCAUUGAGGCAGUCAAAGUAGGCAAAUCCGCUUUGAUAAUGCUGGGAUGUGAUGGGGAGCGAAAUUUAGUAGCGAAGUAGCUGAUUUCACACUGUCAAGAAAAGUCUCUAUCGAGGUUAAAGGUACCCGUACCGCAAACCGACACAGGUGGGUGAGGAGAGUAUCCUAAGGCCAGCGAGAGAACUGUUGUUAAGGAACUCGGCAAAAUGACCCCGUAACUUAGGGAUAAGGGGUGCCACCAUCAGGUGGCCGCAGAGAAUAGGCCCAAGCGACUGUUUACCAAAAACAUAGGUUUCUGCUAAGUCGCAAGACGAUGUAUAGGAGCUGACGCCUGCCCGGUGCUGGAAGGUUAAGGGGAUCUGUUAGAGCAAUCGAAGCAGUGAACUUAAGCCCCAGUAAACGGCGGCCGUAACUAUAACGGUCCUAAGGUAGCGAAAUUCCUUGUCGGGUAAGUUCCGACCCGCACGAAAGGCGUAACGAUUUGGGCACUGUCUCAACAACAGACUCGGUGAAAUUGUAAUUCCGGUGAAGAUGCCGGAUACCUGCGACAGGACGGAAAGACCCCAUGGAGCUUUACUGUAGCUUGACAUUGGGUCUUGGUACUACAUGUACAGGAUAGGUGGGAGGCUUUGAAACCAGGACGCCAGUUUUGGCGGAGCCAUCCUUGGGAUACCACCCUUGUAGUACUGGGACUCUAACCAUAGGCCAUGAAUCUGGUCUUGGGACACUGUCAGGUGGGCAGUUUGACUGGGGCGGUCGCCUCCCAAAAGGUAACGGAGGCGCUCAAAGGUUCUCUCAGUACGGUCGGAAAUCGUACGUAGAGUGUAAAGGCAAAAGAGAGCUUGAUUGCAAGACAUACAGGUCGAGCAAGGAUGAAAAUCGGACUUAGUGAUCCGGUGGUUCUGCGUGGAAGGGCCAUCGCUCAACGGAUAAAAGCUACCCUGGGGAUAACAGGCUUAUCUCCCCCAAGAGUCCACAUCGACGGGGAGGUUUGGCACCUCGAUGUCGGCUCAUCACAUCCUGGGGCUGUAGUAGGUCCCAAGGGUUGGGCUGUUCGCCCAUUAAAGUGGUACGCGAGCUGGGUUCAGAACGUCGUGAGACAGUUCGGUCCCUAUCCGUCGCAGGCGUAGGAAAUUUGAGAAGACCUGUCCUUAGUACGAGAGGACCGGGAUGGACGUACCUCUGGUGUACCAGUUGUUCUGCCAAGGGCAUGGCUGGGUAGCUAUGUACGGAAUGGAUAAGCGCUGAAAGCAUCUAAGCGCGAAGCCAACUUCAAGAUAAGAUUUCCCACCGCAAGGGUAAGACCCCAGAAAGACUAUCUGGUUGAUAGGUCGAAGGUGUAAGUGCAGCAAUGUAUUUAGCUUAUCGAUACUAAUAGGUCGAGGACUUGACCAA